AUACCACGUCCAUAAGCGGUUCCUGCUACAGAACACUUGACAAACUCCAUUGAAUUACAAGUCAGUGUGCCAGUUUUAUCGGAAAGUAUUGUGUCAACCUGGCCGAGUUCCUCAGUUAGAUUUGAGGUGCGAGCAUGUGCUGGUUUAUCAGUUUCUUCAUAGUACAUGUUAAUAUCCUGAUUAAUGAAGAUACUCUGAAGAACUUUAACAAUUUCGAUCGAUACAUACAAGGAGAUGGGAAUCAAGUAGCUAUACAACAUUAUAGCUGUCAGGAAAUGGUAAAUGGCAGCAGCAGGAGCUCUUCUCGGAUCAAAGAAAAUUUCUGAUCUAUCGGGUUGCAGGUACCACCUUUUAUGUCCGCCAUCUAGAUCCUCUUUAGUUACAAUUCCAAAGUAGACUGAUCCAACAAAAGAA
rnacentral:lncRNA from 1 species